rnacentral:tRNA from 1 species
GGUUGUGGCUCAGUGGUAGAGCACUUUCCUAGUAUGUGCAAGGCUUUGGGUUCGAUCCUCAGCACCA